rnacentral:rRNA from 1 species
AUUGAACGCUGGCGGCAUGCCUUACACAUGCAAGUCGAACGGUAACAGGUCUUCGGAUGCUGACGAGUGGCGAACGGGUGAGUAAUACAUCGGAACGUGCCUAGUAGUGGGGGAUAACUACUCGAAAGAGUGGCUAAUACCGCAUGAGAUCUACGGAUGAAAGCAGGGGAUCGCAAGACCUUGUGCUACUAGAGCGGCCGAUGGCAGAUUAGGUAGUUGGUGGGAUAAAAGCUUACCAAGCCGACGAUCUGUAGCUGGUCUGAGAGGACGAUCAGACACACUGGGACUGAGACACGGCCCAGACUCCUACGGGAGGCAGCAGUGGGGAAUUUCGGACAAUGGGCGCAAGCCUGAUCCAGCAAUGCCGCGUGCAGGAUGAAGGCCUUCGGGUUGUAAACUGCUUUUGUACGGAACGAAAAGCCCUGGGUUAAUACCCUGGGGUCAUGACGGUACCGUAAGAAUAAGCACCGGCUAACUACGUGCCAGCCGCCGCCGUAA